AGCGGUGUAGCUCAGUGGUAGAGUGCUUGCCUAUCCUGUGCAAGACCCUGGGUUCAGUCCCCAGCCCUGCAA
rnacentral:tRNA from 1 species